rnacentral:rRNA from 1 species
GAGAGUUUGAUCCUGGCUCAGGAUGAACGCUAGCUACAGGCUUAACACAUGCAAGUCGAGGGGCAGCAUGGUCUUAGCUUGCUAAGGCCGAUGGCGACCGGCGCACGGGUGAGUAACACGUAUCCAACCUGCCGUCUACUCUUGGACAGCCUUCUGAAAGGAAGAUUAAUACAAGAUGGCAUCAUGAGUCCGCAUGUUCACAUGAUUAAAGGUAUUCCGGUAGACGAUGGGGAUGCGUUCCAUUAGGUAGUAGGCGGGGUAACGGCCCACCUAGUCUUCGAUGGAUAGGGGUUCUGAGAGGAAGGUCCCCCACAUUGGAACUGAGACACGGUCCAAACUCCUACGGGAGGCAGCAGUGAGGAAUAUUGGUCAAUGGGCGAGAGCCUGAACCAGCCAAGUAGCGUGAAGGAUGACUGCCCUAUGGGUUGUAAACUUCUUUUAUAAAGGAAUAAAGUCGGGUAUGGAUACCCGUUUGCAUGUACUUUAUGAAUAAGGAUCGGCUAACUCCGUGCCAGCAGCCGCGGUAAUACGGAGGAUCCGAGCGUUAUCCGGAUUUAUUGGGUUUAAAGGGAGCGUAGAUGGAUGUUUAAGUCAGUUGUGAAAGUUUGCGGCUCAACCGUAAAAUUGCAGUUGAUACUGGAUAUCUUGAGUGCAGUUGAGGCAGGCGGAAUUCGUGGUGUAGCGGUGAAAUGCUUAGAUAUCACGAAGAACUCCGAUUGCGAAGGCAGCCUGCUAAGCUGCAACUGACAUUGAGGCUCGAAAGUGUGGGUAUCAAACAGGAUUAGAUACCCUGGUAGUCCACACGGUAAACGAUGAAUACUCGCUGUUUGCGAUAUACUGCAAGCGGCCAAGCGAAAGCGUUAAGUAUUCCACCUGGGGAGUACGCCGGCAACGGUGAAACUCAAAGGAAUUGACGGGGGCCCGCACAAGCGGAGGAACAUGUGGUUUAAUUCGAUGAUACGCGAGGAACCUUACCCGGGCUUAAAUUGCAGAUGAAUUACGGUGAAAGCCGUAAGCCGCAAGGCAUCUGUGAAGGUGCUGCAUGGUUGUCGUCAGCUCGUGCCGUGAGGUGUCGGCUUAAGUGCCAUAACGAGCGCAACCCUUGUUGUCAGUUACUAACAGGUUCUGCUGAGGACUCUGACAAGACUGCCAUCGUAAGAUGUGAGGAAGGUGGGGAUGACGUCAAAUCAGCACGGCCCUUACGUCCGGGGCUACACACGUGUUACAAUGGGGGGUACAGAGGGCCGCUACCACGCGAGUGGAUGCCAAUCCCAAAAACCUCUCUCAGUUCGGACUGGAGUCUGCAACCCGACUCCACGAAGCUGGAUUCGCUAGUAAUCGCGCAUCAGCCACGGCGCGGUGAAUACGUUCCCGGGCCUUGUACACACCGCCCGUCAAGCCAUGGGAGCCGGGGGUACCUGAAGUGCGUAACCGCGAGGAGCGCCCUAGGGUAAAACUGGUGACUGGGGCUAAGUCGUAACAAGGUAGCCG